rnacentral:rRNA from 1 species
UACGAAGGGGGCUAGCGUUGCUCGGAAUCACUGGGCGUAAAGGGUGCGUAGGCGGCCCUUUAAGUCAGGGGUGAAAUCCUGGAGCUCAACUCCAGAACUGCCUUUGAUACUGAGGAUCUUGAGUUCGGGAGAGGUGAGUGGAACUGCGAGUGUAGAGGUGAAAUUCGUAGAUAUUCGCAAGAACACCAGUGGCGAAGGCGGCUCACUGGCCCGAUACUGACGCUGAGGCACGAAAGCUAGGGGAGCAAACAGG